rnacentral:rRNA from 1 species
ACUCCUACGGGAGGCAGCAGUGGGGAAUAUUGCACAAUGGGCGAAAGCCUGAUGCAGCGACGCCGCGUGAGGGAUGACGGCCUUCGGGUUGUAAACCUCUUUCAGCAGGGACGAAGCGCAAGUGACUGUACCUGCAGAAGAAGCACCGGCUAACUACGUGCCAGCAGCCGCGGUAAUACGUAGGGUGCGAGCGUUGUCCGGAAUUAUUGGGCGUAAAGAGCUUGUAGGUGGCUCGUUGCGUCGGGAGUGAAAACCUGCGGCUUAACCGCAGGCCUGCUUCCGAUACGGGCGAGCUAGAGUUCGGCAGGGGAGACUGGAAUUCCUGGUGUAGCGGUGGAAUGCGCAGAUAUCAGGAGGAACACCGGUGGCGAAGGCGGGUCUCUGGGCCGAUACUGACACUGAGAAGCGAAAGCGUGGGGAGCGAACAGGAUUAGAUACCCUGGUAGUCCACGCCGUAAACGUUGGGAACUAGGUGUGGGGUCCAUUCCACGGGCUCUGUGCCGCAGCUAACGCAUUAAGUUCCCCGCCUGGGGAGUACGGCCGCAAGGCUAAAACUCAAAGGAAUUGACGGGGGCCCGCACAAGCGGCGGAGCAUGUGGCUUAAUUCGAUGCAACGCGAAGAACCUUACCUGGGCUUGACAUGUUCGGUCUACCUGCAGAGAUGUGGGGUGCUUUUGCGCCGUUCACAGGUGGUGCAUGGUUGUCGUCAGCUCGUGUCGUGAGAUGUUGGGUUAAGUCCCGCAACGAGCGCAACCCUCGUUCCAUGUUGCCAGCGCGUUAUGGCGGGGACUCAUGGGAGACUGCCGGGGUCAACUCGGA